UACAGAGGGUGCAAGCGUUGUUCGGAAUUAUUGGGCGUAAAGGGCGCGUAGGCGGCCGCGUAUGUCCGGUGUGAAAGCCCACCUCUUAAAGGUGGAAUUGCAUCGGAAACUACGUGGCUGGAGUGUCGGAGAGGAUGGUGGAAUUCCUGGUGUAGAGGUGAAAUUCGUAGAUAUCAGGAGGAACACCGGUGGCGAAGGCGGCCAUCUGGACGACUACUGACGCUGAGGCGCGAAGGCGUGGGGAUCAAACAGG
rnacentral:rRNA from 1 species